GAAAGUUUGGAUGGCUUUUAAGUACAGCCCCAGGUGCUUCGCGUAGGGGACUCUGGUUUUUGUGUAAGAUGCCGCUGAAACCAGUUGAGAUUUGUCUCUGCGCCCUACUGCAGAAUUGAGGCUUCAGCCCUUAAUACGCUUCUUGCUGUUUUUCUUCCAUCCUAGUUGAUCUCCAGCUGGUGCUGAAUCAGGUGACAACACUAGAGCUGAAGGCCCGGGAAGGAUCCACAGAUAACUCAUCUCUGUGGAGCUGGCUACAUGACUUCACUGUUAGAGGAAAUGGGAAACCUGAAGUGGCUGAGCCAGGCACAUGGUGCAUAGUGCCAUACACGCUACAGAUAAGAAUCAGAUUUGAAAGACGCGACGCAUGUGCCUGAGUCAAGUAUGUACAUAAAUGCUUGAAGGAUCAGGGCCUAAGCCGAACACAUGGUCAAGAUGCUGCUCACUUACAAUGCAUCUGUUAUUGGUGGCAAUAAAAUCAAGCUGAAUACAUUCAGCUUCUGGUCCUGUUGCCCCUAUAGUGUGAUGGCCACUGCAAAGGAAUGUUUUGGAAACGAAAGGUGGACGCUUGAGGGAAAAUUUCUUCACCUGCAACAAAAUAGCUGUUUUCAUAGCAGAAUUUGCAAGAUUUUUAAAAAAAUACGUAAAUUUUUGCCCUAAAUCAGUAUGGCAAUAUCCCCCUUAACUCAGUAGAUCUAAACUAAACUCAUGCAGAUCUUCAGUUAAGUCUUGCUAAAAAGGUUGUGUGUUUUUUUGGAACCUACUAACUGUGCUAAGAUAACAAACAGAAUUGCGGAGUCUCUUUUGGUAUGGAAUAGAAUGCAUACCUGCAUGUUUAUUUAAUAAAUAUUUACUGAUAUAUGUACAUAAACAGAUAGACGUAUACCAACAAUGGGAACUGCAUUGAGAGAUCGGCAGUGUGCUUUGCAAAAUGAAAUUAGUGAUGGUGUUCCCUAAUUAGUCCUUCACUUCAUAAAAGGUCUGGUUACUCACUUUAUCUGUAGUCUACCUGAAAAAAUAAAUGCUUUCUGUUGACUGUGGUGUCACCUCAAAUUUCUUUGCACCUAGGAAAAGUGCAGCCCCUCAGACCUACUUUCUCCCUGUUAAGGCUAUAUGUUAUAGAGAGGUGGCAAGAGCUGCUGCAGAAAGACAAGCUGCAGCUUUGAAAAGCGUCAGCCUCAGAAGAAAUACAACACUGUGGUCCAAAUUACCAGGGAUGCAUUGAAGAAUGGAUCAUUUUUCAAAUCACCAGAACAUGGCAGGGGAAAAAUAAAGGAGACUGCCAAGCUGAAAAGGCAGGGAGAUGGACACACUGCUCUGAAUAUGGUUAGUCCCAAUUAAAAUGAGACAAACUCCCUCUCCAAGGUAUCAAAACCUGCUCCAAAAAGGUAGUUGCCAACAGUCCAGUGGCUCCAGGACAGUUACCUUCCAAAACUAACUGGUCGUCAUCUUCCGGCUGUCAUUUUCUUCUGCAGCCACCAUGAAGUAUAUCCCC